UACGUAGGGUGCGAGCGUUAAUCGGAAUUACUGGGCGUAAAGCGUGCGCAGGCGGUUCGUGAUGUCUGAUGUGAAAGCCCCGGGCUCAACCUGGGAACUGCAUUGGAAACUAGCGGGCUGGAGUGUGGCAGAGGGGGGUGGAAUUCCACGUGUAGCAGUGAAAUGCGUAGAGAUGUGGAGGAACACCGAUGGCGAAGGCAGCCCCCUGGGCUAACACUGACGCUCGAUGCACGAAAGCGUGGGGAGCAAACAGG
rnacentral:rRNA from 1 species